GUGUGACUAGGCAGCACAUAAACAAAAGAUAGAACAACUCAGUAAAGAUUAUCAGGACUUUGCACAAGGAUGACAUGCAAAUUCAUGAAGUGUCUCUUGUUUUU
ensembl:snRNA U6 U6 spliceosomal RNA